UCCUUUCUUCUUAAUCCUGUCUCUUGGAGUUUUUGUAUAUUUUUGAAAAGAAAUUUAGCAUACCUUUAUCCUCGUAGGUUCUCUCAGGUCACUCAUUAUCUUUUGUAUAUCUCACUAAGGCUGUUUUAAUUUGCAGAAAUUCUCAAGCAUACUUACCUUGCAUUUAUUGCCUGAUCAAAACGGGGUUCAAGGAGAGGAAUGUCAUACUCUUAGAUCAAAGACUUUGGAAAUUAAAACCUUGUCAACUCUUACUGGCAUAUUGCUUAUUAGAGGGACCAUGGGCUAUCCUUUUCUUCUUCUUCUUCUUCUUCUUCUUCUU
rnacentral:lncRNA from 1 species